AACGUACGCUGGCGGCACGCCUAACACAUGCAAGUCGAACGAAGUAGCAAUACUUAGUGGCAGACGGGUGAGUAACAUGUGGGUAUCUGCCCUUUGGCCUGGAAUAACACGAGGAAACUUGUGCUAAUACCGGAUAAGUCUUUACGGAGAAAGCUUUAUGCACCAUUGGAUGAGCCCGCACUUGAUUAGUUUGUUGGUAGGGUAAUGGCCUACCAAGACUAUGAUCAAUAGCUGAUUUGAGAGGAUGAUCAGCCACAUUGGGACUGAGACACGGCCCAAACUCCUACGGGAGGCAGCAGUGGGGAAUCUUGCACAAUGGAGGAAACUCUGAUGCAGCGAUGCCGCGUGAGUGAAGAAGGCCCUUGGGUUGUAAAGCUCUUUCGUCGGGGAAGAAAAUGACUGUACCCGAAUAAGAAGGUCCGGCUAACUACGUGCCAGCAGCCGCGGUAAUACGAAGGGACCUAGCGUAGUUCGGAAUUACUGGGCUUAAAGAGUUCGUAGGUGGUUGAAAAAGUUGGUGGUGAAAUCCCAGAGCUUAACUCUGGAACUGCCAUCAAAACUUUUCAGCUAGAGUAUGAUAGAGGAAAGCAGAAUUUCUAGUGUAGAGGUGAAAUUCGUAGAUAUUAGAAAGAAUACCAAUUGCGAAGGCAGCUUUCUGGAUCAUUACUGACACUGAGGAACGAAAGCAUGGGUAGCGAAGAGGAUUAGAUACCCUCGUAGUCCAUGCCGUAAACGAUGUGUGUUAGACGUUGGAAAUUUAUUUUCAGUGUCGCAGCGAAAGCGAUAAACACACCGCCUGGGGAGUACGACCGCAAGGUUAAAACUCAAAUGAAUUGACGGGGACCCGCACAAGUAGUGGAGCAUGUGGUUUAAUUCGAAGAUACGCGCAGAACCUUACCAACACUUGACAUGUUCGUCGCGACUCUAAGAGAUUAGAGUUUUCGGUUCGGCCGGACGAAACACAGGUGCUGCAUGGCUGUCGUCAGCUCGUGUCGUGAGAUGUUGGGUUAAGUCCCGCAACGAGCGCAACCCUCACUUUUAGUUGCCAUCAUUAAGUUGGGCACUCUGAAAGAACUGCCAGUGAUAAGCUGGAGGAAGGUGGGGAUGACGUCAAGUCCUCAUGGCCCUUACGUGUUGGGCUACACACGUGCUACAAUGGCAUCUACAACAGGAAGCAAAACGGCAACGUUAAGCAAAUCCCGAAAAGAUGCCUCAGUUCGGAUUGCACUCUGCAACUCGAGUGCAUGAAGCUGGAAUUACUAGUAAUCGUGGAUCAGCGUGCCACGGUGAAUGCGUUCCCGGGUCU
rnacentral:rRNA from 1 species